GGCAGGAAACACGUGAACGGUCGCAGGUCUCGGGCUAGGCAGGGGCCGUCUGCUUAUGCAGGAGAUGUGGACAGAAUCGCUUUUCCACAAAUUCCUCACAGCCUGAGGGUGAAGGAACUUCACAGCAAGUUGCUUCUGACUGAAGAGAGCUGGGACAACCACGGGCAUCCCUGGCACCCUUCACGAGUGACCGUUUCUAGUAACAGCAUGAAGAAGUCUUACAGACGAAGUCCCACCCAGGCGUCGAAUUCUGAAGACGCCUUUAAAGGUAACUGAAACUGAGGACAGUGGGACUGCAGCGGCGGCGGGGAGGCCACUGCACUGUUUCUCCUGCAAGAGAAAAGCAGGGACGAGGAGAAAGCUCCGUAAGGAGGGUGUGCUCAAGCGGCACUUCUGGCCCCAGAAGCCACUUGCACUGGGCUGAUGCAGCUGGACUCAGAAAACCGCCCGAGUGCUGGGGCUGCAGGUGUGUGCCACCAUGCCCGGCAACCGUAAUGUUUUAAAUCAGACUCUGAACAUCUUGAAACUACA